AUGACGGACUACUAGAUUUCGGUCUUGUCCUGUCGCCGGUUUUUGUACAUCUCAAGCAUCCUGCGAGUCUGUACUGUAUUACAACCACUCGUCACAAUCUCGAGAGAACCAUGGAACUUGGUUAAGCAUAUACUUUGUUUUAUCUCCAAUCCCCAUACAUUUAGCAGGACAAGCAUCGAACUAGCAUCGUUCAAAAAGACAGACCACAGUUGGGUCCCAACCGGCCGGCUCCUGCCCCCGGCCGUUCGAAGCUCUCACCCCACUUUCUCUGAAUUGGAUUGGUCAGCUCUCAUUGGGUUGCGGGAGGCACAGGUAGGUAUUCGCUGGAUAAGGGGUGAUUGUUUACUUUCUUAUCUGGCGAAUAUCUAUCGUCUUUAAGGUGACGUUCAAAUAGUCCCUUUUCUCUGUUUGAUUGUUGCGAUACCCGAUACUAUACUUAGCUGAGAUUGGGGUUCUUACAUCUCUUUCUUACAAACCGAAAACAUAAAAAGAACAUAUCCUCCAAGCUUCCUUGGGUCAUUUAUCUGACGCCGACAACGGGCAUGGUAGCUUAGUGUAUAAUUCGGGGUUAUCAUCUCCACCUGGGCUAUGGCAUUUGGUAUUGGUACGGCACAUGUGUUGACCCUAAUAAACCUGUUCUGAACAUAUCCCUUCGUGGUUUCGUUCUCGCCAAAAGCUAUAAUCCAUUCCUACAGUUAAAUUGCGAUCCCAAGCGCCCGAACGGAAACGAGAGUGAGUGGUAAUGGAAGUAAGCGCAGCGGGUAUUGAAACAUGGCGCGGCUCAAAGAUCCACUGUCUUGACGGAUGAUCCCUAAAAGGAACCCUACCCAGGCCCAAGUAUCCAAUCUCCGUUCCCCGCUGUCCGAUUUGACAGUUUAACGCUUUAACCAAGUCGAAGCAACGUGAAUAUCACAAGUGCUGCUUCCGAAGACAACACAUCUCAGACUGAAACACGCAUCCGGUCUUUCCGAAUCGCAUCGGCCAAUCAUGGACUACACCUCGCCGGCCGAACCGAAUGCACGUCACAAAUAGGUCAUCGCCAACACGGAUAUAUUGGUCGGGACAGGUAUCGAUGCAGCCGCUCCGUAGGUCUAUGGAAGUAAAUUGGCUGUUGUUCGUUGGGCUGGCCCAGCAUCGUUCCUACACCCUCCCCCGCGUGACUGAAAGGGUCGUUGCCUUCAACGGCCGAGCUGGUACCAUCGUAUGUCAUUCCCCGGGCCAUUUCCAUGCUCGCCAGGCGCGCGCCCCCCUCCCCAUGCGGCUUGUUUACAAUUUAUCUUAGGGUA